rfam:TPA: Bos taurus chromosome 2, whole genome shotgun sequence.
UCCCUGGUGGUCCAGCGGUUAAGACUCAGUACUUUCAUUGCUAUGGGUCUGGGUUCAAUCCCUGGUCGGAGAA